rnacentral:rRNA from 1 species
UACUGACGCUAAUGCUCGAAGGUGCGGGUAUCGAACAGGAUUAGAUACCCUGGUAGUCCGCACGGUAAACGAUGGAUGCCCGCUGUUGGCGAUAUAUUGUCAGCGGCCAAGCGAAAGCGUUAAGCAUCCCACCUGGGGAGUACGCCGGCAACGGUGAAACUCAAAGGAAUUGACGGGGGCCCGCACAAGCGGAGGAACAUGUGGUUUAAUUCGAUGAUACGCGAGGAACCUUACCCGGGCUUGAACUGCAGGAGAACGAUACAGAGAUGUUGAGGCCCUUCGGGGCUCCUGUGGAGGUGCUGCAUGGUUGUCGUCAGCUCGUGCCGUGAGGUGUCGGCUUAAGUGCCAUAACGAGCGCAACCCCUGCGGUCAGUUGCCAUCAGGUUAUGCUGGGCACUCUGGCCGGACUGCCACCGUAAGGUGUGAGGAAGGUGGGGAUGACGUCAAAUCAGCACGGCCCUUACGUCCGGGGCUACACACGUGUUACAAUGGGUGGUACAGGAAGUCAGUCGAACGCAAGUUCGGUUCAAUCAUGAAAGCCAUCCUCAGUUCGGAUUGGGGUCUGCAACCCGACCCCAUGAAGCUGGAUCGCUAGUAAUCG